rnacentral:lncRNA from 1 species
AGAAUCUGCGUGUGCUGGGCAGGGUCUACGGCAGGAGCGUGCAAGGGUGCGGAAGUGGAUGGGUGGGGCCUUGGAGGGUUACGGGGCGGCACCUGAGUGCGAGGGGCGGGGCUUGCGGCCCUUAAAUUCUGGCAUCCCUAUCUGUUGGAGGUCAGCCAAUUGGGAGGUCUCCGUUCCCGUCCUGCCGGAUCCGCGUGGGAAGUCGCUGAGGACCCUAGGCGUUGGCCUGAGGGCGGGACCCUCCUACCUCCCCUGCAGUUGGGGAGACCGACGUGAGUGCAAGUUUCCUCCUGGGAACUUGGAGGAGGUGCAGGUUAGCCACUCGGGGAAACUGAGGCCGUCGGACCGAUCUGGAGGGUGACCCCUCCCUGCCCUUGGACGCCACUGAAUGAAAGAAUUUGUCACUACUGAAACACCUACUGAAUCUAAAUAUUCAUCAGCGAUAGCCAUCAGUAAUGCAAAAGGAGACAGGCACAGCCGUGAGUGUGGCUCAUGGUAGAAUGCUUGUGUGGAGAGCAAACAGUUAUUGCAAAAUUCAUUAUAUUAUUUACAUCCUUUUCCAAUGACAGCAAGCACUGAGGCUGUCACUGAAGCUGUCCCUGAGCCUGAGGCCGUGACAGAGGCCAUGACUGCACAAGACAGAAGUGGGAAGAGCCCAUGCAGGGCCCGUGCAGAGUGGAUGUCACAGCCAAGACUCUGCUCCAGGACAUCGGAGGGCACCAGCCUGGAGUGCACCCCCGGAGACGUGGGCGCUGGCCGCAGCCGACGCUGACCGCGAAUCACCUUACAGGAGAAGAAAGUCGCACUCCGAUCUGUGCAGGUGAAAGACAGCCUUUCCAGGAGAAGCACAGAGGAGCCCAAGGCAGAGCUGGGGAGCCAACAAAAAUAGAAAUCUGUUGGGCGCUGGCCUGCAAGCUGGCGGAAGUGCUGCCAUCUAGAGCUAAGUGGAAUCAUUUUUAGAGAUAAGUUUUCCUUCCUGAAGUUAAGUUUCUAGAAUUGUAGUUCUUUGUCCUAGUAAACGCCCGUUAAUCACCCAUUAAGGUUGCCUUUGUGAUUAUAGCCCAUAAUAGUUUGUAGUUAAGCCUACUUCCUCUUUCGUUUGUGGUUUUUUGCUUUAAAAGUCUGAUGCUUGCCUACAAUAAACGUCACCUUGAUCAGACUCUUGUCUUGGCGUCCUUCUUUCUCUCCUUGCCCCAUCUCCACCCGAUGCUCUUUCAGGUUUGAGACACUGCUGGACAGUGCUCUGCAUUGCCGGCUCACGACAGAAAUCAGAAAUGAGCAAGCAUAGAUGCUAGAACUCUUCUCCAGUUGAUGUACCCUGCACUCAUUGUUAUUGGACCCAGUCUCACCUGCUGGCUGCUCCUGUUAGAAAGGU